rnacentral:rRNA from 1 species
UACGUAGGGGGCAAGCGUUGUCCGGAAUUAUUGGGCGUAAAGAGCGUGUAGGCGGCCAGAUAAGUCCGCUGUGAAAUCUCGAGGCUCAACUUCGAGCUGUCGGUGGAAACUAUCUGGCUAGAGUCCGGAAAAGGAGAAUGGAAUUCCUGGUGUAGCGGUGAAAUGCGCAGAUAUCAGGAAGAACACCCGUGGCGAAGGCGGUUCUCUGGGACGGUACUGACGCUGAGACGCGAAAGCGUGGGGAGCGAACAGG